UACGUAGGGGGCUAGCGUUGUCCGGAAUCAUUGGGCGUAAAGAGCGUGUAGGCGGCCCGGUAAGUCCGCUGUGAAAGUCGGGGGCUCAACCCUCGAAUGCCGGUGGAUACUGUCGGGCUAGAGUGCGGAAGAGGCGAGUGGAAUUCCUGGUGUAGCGGUGAAAUGCGCAGAUAUCAGGAAGAACACCCGUGGCGAAGGCGGUUCUCUGGGACGGUACUGACGCUGAGACGCGAAAGCGUGGGGAGCGAACAGG
rnacentral:rRNA from 1 species